GAUUUUCAAUUUUCAAGAAGUUGUUCGUCAAUCCGGUAAACUCGUUUCAACUCUUACGUGAUUAGAAUAUUUUUGUGUGUUGUUAUUUUGCUUAAUUCUAAUUAAUAUGGCAUUUUCAUUGAAAAAUAUGUUCGGAAAAGGAAAAAAUAAAACCGGUGAAAGUAGUCGCCAAAAUACUACCCCUCUCCUGGCUCCCCGACCUAGAAAAGAUAAACAAGUUGAAACUAGUAGCCACCUAGAAAUACUAAUGAAAACUUCGGAAUACUUGAUAGUAAUCACCCGUGUUUUCAAUUUAGN
rnacentral:lncRNA from 1 species